UACGGGGGGAGCAAGCGUUGUUCGGAUUUACUGGGCGUAAAGGGCGCGUAGGCGGUCAGCACAAGUCAGUUGUGAAAUCUCCGGGCUUAACUCGGAAAGGUCAACUGAUACUGUGCGACUAGAGUGCGGAAGGGGCAACUGGAAUUCUUGGUGUAGCGGUGAAAUGCGUAGAUAUCAAGAGGAACACCUGCGGCGAAGGCGGGUUGCUGGGCCGACACUGACGCUGGGGCGCGAAAGCCAGGGGAGCGAACGGG
rnacentral:rRNA from 1 species